rnacentral:rRNA from 1 species
GUAAGGACUUGCCCCAUAGUGGGGAAUAACUCACCGAAAGGUGGGGUAAUACCGCAUAUCCGGACUUGUCGGGAAAGGGAUAAACUGCCCGCUAAGGGAGAGACUUGCGGCCCAUCAGCUUGUUGGUAGGGUAAUGGCCUACCAAGGCAACGACGGGUAUCCGCCCUGAGAGGGGGAACGGACAGAAUGGUACUGAGACACGGAC